AUGUAGCAUGCAUUUUCCGGCCUCCGUGAGUUAAAAGGGAAUCCAGUGUAAAUCUGGAGCUGACGCGCAGCGGUAAUAGUUGGUUGGAUGAUGGCGUUUAUCGCAAACACUGCUUAUUUUCUGCAUUAAACAGAAUUCAGGUGGGAAGUUUUCAUCCAUGUAAAACCAUUAAGCCCGAAGACCUGCCGGAUACACGUCGCAAUU
rnacentral:ncRNA from 2 species